rnacentral:rRNA from 1 species
GACGAACGCUGGCGGCGUGCUUAACACAUGCAAGUCGAGCGGUAAGGCUCCUUCGGGAGUACACGAGCGGCGAACGGGUGAGUAACACGUGAGCAAUCUGCCCUUCACAUCGGGAUAACUUCGGGAAACCGAAGCUAAUACCGGAUACGACCAUCGGUGGCAUCACCUGGUGGUGGAAAGUUCCGGCGGUGAAGGAUGAGCUCGCGGCCUAUCAGCUUGUUGGUGGGGUAAUGGCCACCAAGGCGACGACGGGUAGCCGGCCUGAGAGGGUGACCGGCCACACUGGGACUGAGACACGGCCCAGACUCCUACGGGAGGCAGCAGUGGGGAUAUUGGACAAUGGGCGAAAGCCUGAUCCAGCAACGCCGCGUGAGGGAUGACGGCCUGGUU